GGUUAAGUUAGAAAGGGCGCACGGUGGAUGCCUUGACACUAGGAGUCGAUGAAGGACGGGACUAACGCCGAUAUGCUUCGGGGAGCUGUAAGUAAGCUUUGAUCCGAAGAUUUCCGAAUGGGGAAACCCACCAUACGUAAUGGUAUGGUAUCCUUAUCUGAAUACAUAGGGUAAGGAAGACAGACCCAGGGAACUGAAACAUCUAAGUACCUGGAGGAAGAGAAAGCAAAUGCGAUUUCCUGAGUAGCGGCGAGCGAAACGGAACAUAGCCCAAACCAAGAGGCUUGCCUCUUGGGGUUGUAGGACAUUCUAUACGGAGUUACAAAGGAACGAGGUAGACGAAGCGACCUGGAAAGGUCCGUCGUAGAGGGUAACAACCCCGUAGUCGAAACUUCGUUCUCUCUUGAAUGUAUCCUGAGUACGGCGGAACACGUGAAAUUCCGUCGGAAUCUGGGAGGACCAUCUCCCAAGGCUAAAUACUCCCUAGUGAUCGAUAGUGAACCAGUACCGUGAGGGAAAGGUGAAAAGCACCCCGGAAGGGGAGUGAAAGAGAUCCUGAAACCGUGUGCCUACAAAUAGUCAGAGCCCGUUAACGGGUGAUGGCGUGCCUUUUGUAGAAUGAACCGGCGAGUUACGAUCCCGUGCGAGGUUAAGCUGAAGAGGCGGAGCCGCAGCGAAAGCGAGUCUGAAUAGGGCGUUUAGUACGUGGUCGUAGACCCGAAACCAGGUGAUCUACCCAUGUCCAGGGUGAAGUUCAGGUAACACUGAAUGGAGGCCCGAACCCACGCACGUUGAAAAGUGCGGGGAUGAGGUGUGGGUAGCGGAGAAAUUCCAAUCGAACCUGGAGAUAGCUGGUUCUCCCCGAAAUAGCUUUAG
rnacentral:rRNA from 1 species